CUCCAGGUGAAGAGUCCCAAAUAGGACGAAAUGCGUAUCCUUGAU
rnacentral:hammerhead_ribozyme from 1 species